AUUAUUGUUCUGAACUCUGAUUUGGAUUUGAGCCUAAUUUAGAACAAGAGACUACCUCCCAGAAUCCAGAAGGUGAACCUUUUGGAGAAGACGCCAUGAAAAUGCCUGCAGAGAUCACCUGCUGUACUAGAAGAUCCAGAGUAAACUUUGAGAUAUAGUGAAUUUGAACUUUGGGGGGGUUGAAUGCACUUGUUUUGAAUAUAUACUCUUAUGCCAAAGGGGUCUGCACUAAAUUGUUUUUUUUUGUCAAUGCACCUAUUAUUGGUUUUGUUCCUUUUCUCCUUUAUUUUCCUCUUAUCCCCAAAUUAUUAUAAUUUCCCUUUUAAAACUGUAAUAUUUGUAUAUACCUCUAGUUCAAGUUAUAGGUUAGUUAUGUUUUCAUAAUCCACUGGGGAGACUGGUCUCCCAAAGAGUCAUGGGGGAGUGAAUUAAUUAGAAUCUCUGGACUACAUUUCCAACAUUCCCCCUUUCCCUUUUUGUGUACAUGUGUCAUUAAUUUGGCGUUUUUAGUUUAGUUUCUCUCCCACCACACCCACUCUAUUCCACUUGGAGGUGGGGUGAAGCUCUCUUGGUUUGCUCUAGCCUUUUUUACUUUCCCUUGUUUCAAGUUAAACAUUUAAUAAAUAUUAUUAAAUAUAAUACUUGGAGUAUUGAAUAAUAAUAUUAAUCUUUAUACCAUUUAUCUUUUGUCCUCAGCCUAUGAUGAAAAUGGAGAUAAGAUAACCUUGCACAGUUUGGGAAAUGAGAAAGGAAACAUUUCUAUUAACAAUAACAAGUUCUAUUCUUAAGGAAUUUGAAUAUCAAUCCAUACAGUGUGCAAUCUAUCACUUAAAGGGCAAAGCUAAACCUUUCUUGUAAGAGACUCAUCUGUGUAGAAAUGAUUUUGGAGCCCUUGAGAACUUGAGAUCAACAAGAGAGGGAGAAGAGAACAAAGAUUCUUGGAACAAUCAUCAUUAAUCCUGCUUCUACUUCCUACAAGGCCAUUGGAACAAAUUGUUCUCAUUCACCCCUUCCACAAGAGGAAGUCUGCACAUGCCAGAGGUUAAUUGUGUUUCCAGUCACAGAAUACAGGCAGCAUACACAGAAGACA